ensembl:snRNA U1 U1 spliceosomal RNA
UCAUCCAACUGGCAGGGAAAAUACCACAAUCAAGAAGGUGGUUUUUCCAGGGUGACAACUGUCCAUCACACUCCAGACAGGCUGACGCUGAGAAUUUCCCCAGUGCGGGAAACUCAACUACACAAUUAUGUGGUAAUGGGGGACUGAGGUUGUGCUUUGUUCAUGUCUUGCUCCUA